rnacentral:pre_miRNA from 1 species
CAAGUAAUCCCUCCAUCCGAAAAUACUUGUCAUCAAAUGGAUAAAAAAGAUGUAUCUAGAACUAAUAUACAUCUAGAUACAUCCCCUUUUAUUCAUUUUGAUGACAAGUAUUUCCGGACGGAGGGAGUACUAC